UCAGUGGUGGUUCAGUGGUAGAAUUCUCACCUCCCAUGCCAGACACCAGGGUUCGAAUCCCAGCAAGUGUA
rnacentral:tRNA from 1 species